ACUACGGGUGGCAGCAGUGAGGAAUAUUGGUCAAUGGGCGGGAGCCUGAACCAGCCAAGUCGCGUGAGGGAAGACGGUCCUACGGAUUGUAAACCUCUUUUGCCGGGGAGCAACGGGUUCCUUGCGAGGGCCCGAUACGAGUACCCGGAGAAAAAGCAUCGGCUAACUCCGUUCCAUCAGCCGCGGUAAUACGGAGGAUGCGAGCGUUAUCCGGCUUUAUUGGGGUUCAAGGGUGCGUAGGCGGGCUGUUCAGUCAGCGGUCAAAGGUCGGGGCUCAACCCCGGCCUGCCGUUGAAACUGGCGGCCUCGAGUGGGCGAGAAGUAUGCGGAAUGCGUGGUGUAGCGGUGAAAUGCAUAGAUAUCACGCAGAACUCAGAUUGCGAAGGCAGCAUACCGGCGCCCGACUGACGCUGAGGCACGAAAGCGUGGGUAUCGAACAGGAUUAGAUACCCGUGUAGUC
rnacentral:rRNA from 1 species